rnacentral:rRNA from 1 species
CUCCUUUGACGUUAGCGGCGGACGGGUGAGUAACACGUGGGUAACCUACCUAUAAGACUGGGAUAACUUCGGGAAACCGGAGCUAAUACCGGAUAACAUUUGGAACCGCAUGGUUCUAAAGUGAAAGAUGGUUUUGCUAUCACUUAUAGAUGGACCCGCGCCGUAUUAGCUAGUUGGUAAGGUAACGGCUUACCAAGGCGACGAUACGUAGCCGACCUGAGAGGGUGAUCGGCCACACUGGAACUGAGACACGGUCCAGACUCCUACGGGAGGCAGCAGUAGGGAAUCUUCCGCAAUGGGCGAAAGCCUGACGGAGCAACGCCGCGUGAGUGAUGAAGGGUUUCGGCUCGUAAAACUCUGUUAUUAGGGAAGAACAAACGUGUAAGUAACUGUGCACGUCUUGACGGUACCUAAUCAGAAAGCCACGGCUAACUACGUGCCAGCAGCCGCGGUAAUACGUAGGUGGCAAGCGUUAUCCGGAAUUAUUGGGCGUAAAGCGCGCGUAGGCGGUUUCUUAAGUCUGAUGUGAAAGCCCACGGCUCAACCGUGGAGGGUCAUUGGAAACUGGGAAACUUGAGUGCAGAAGAGGAAAGUGGAAUUCCAUGUGUAGCGGUGAAAUGCGCAGAGAUAUGGAGGAACACCAGUGGCGAAGGCGACUUUUCUGGUCUGUAACUGACGCUGAUGUGCGAAAGCGUGGGGAUCAAACAGGAUUAGAUACCCUGGUAGUCCACGCCGUAAACGAUGAGUGCUAAGUGUUAGGGGGGUUUCCGCCCCUUAGUGCUGCAGCUAACGCAUUAAGCACUCCGCCUGGGGAGUACGACCGCAAGGUUGAAACUCAAAGGAAUUGACGGGGACCCGCACAAGCGGUGGAGCAUGUGGUUUAAUUCGAAGCAACGCGAAGAACCUUACCAAAUCUUGACAUCCUUUGAAAACUCUAGAGAUAGAGCCUUCCCCUUCGGGGGACAAAGUGACAGGUGGUGCAUGGUUGUCGUCAGCUCGUGUCGUGAGAUGUUGGGUUAAGUCCCGCAACGAGCGCAACCCUUAAGCUUAGUUGCCAUCAUUAAGUUGGGCACUCUAGGUUGACUGCCGGUGACAAACCGGAGGAAGGUGGGGAUGACGUCAAAUCAUCAUGCCCCUUAUGAUUUGGGCUACACACGUGCUACAAUGGACAAUACAAAGGGCAGCUAAACCGCGAGGUCAUGCAAAUCCCAUAAAGUUGUUCUCAGUUCGGAUUGUAGUCUGCAACUCGACUACAUGAAGCUGGAAUCGCUAGUAAUCGUAGAUCAGCAUGCUACGGUGAAUACGUUCCCGGGUCUUGUACACACCGCCCGUCACACCACGAGAGUUUGUAACACCCGAA